UGAAUGUCAUAUACUUAUUGCCACAC
rnacentral:piRNA from 1 species